ACCUACUUGAAGAACUUACACUAGAUGUGGGCCAUGAAAGUAUAGGCUUGAACUCUUGCCGGCCUUGCAGUGGGGUGCCAGUGACACAAGUGGUGCCCCCUACAACUAAGCCCAUGACAAGUUCAGCACCUUUGCCUACCAACUCCAGUGAUGUCACUGACUUCACAGGAAGGGCAGCUGCUUCCAAACCUGAGGAAAAGAUAAACUAUUCAGUAGUCAUUGGUGUCUCUGUAGGGGCAGUGGUGAUAAUAGGAGUAAUAGCUUUGAUUAUAGUUAUAUGUAAAAGAUCAGGAAUGAAUGAAUGCAAUGUCACAAUGUGUAAUCUCAUUGGAGGAAACAAUCAAAAUAGCUGUCAGUAUGAUCCCGUUAGUCAGUCAUCAUCUGGGAAUUAUCAAAAUGGCCACACCAAUGGCUUGGAGAGGGAAAUGUCUUUAAAUGCUAACAGUGACCCAGAGAAUGAAAGCAGUCCUACUCUAGUUAACGAGAAUGGCCAUGUCAAUGUUUUGCCAAGGAGAGAGCAGUUACAGAAUAGUGCUGUUGAAAGAGAGGGUGCUCAGAUGCAAGAGAAUGGCCAAAAUGACCAUGUCAGUGGUUUGCCAAGGGGAGAGCAGUUAUAGAAUGGCGCUGUGGAUAGAGAGGGUGCUCAAAUGCGAGGUAUUGAUUCUUGGCCUAGGUGAUGAUAACCCAGCCCCCCCAGUUCGUUACACAUACGACCUCUUUCUGGUGCAUAGUAGUGAAGAUGAGGAGGAGGUUCUCGAGUUAGCAGAAUACCUGGAGGAAGAACAUGGCAUAAAAUGCUGCUAUGCAGGCAGAGAUUUUCAACUUGGGAAGCGCGUCAUGAACAAUGUGGAAGAUCUUUUUGAGGAGUGUAGACACUCCUUAUCGCAGGUGAUCCAACACCAAUUGUAUGGGACACAGAAACACGACGAAAACCCCGCAAUACUAUACUCAAGAAUAUCACCGAGCACAAGAUUCGAAAUGACCAUCACCUCAGGGUACACCAACGUGGAAUAUAUCAAGUUCAAAGCCACCUUUGCUUCAAAGUUCAAGUGGACGAAGCAGACGACAUCUCGAGCACCUCACUGACUAUGAGCGACGGGGACGAGCGCAUCGGCAGAGGGCGCUCCAAGACAUUCUUACAUUUUGUGAUAAGAAAUUGCCAGGGAAACGAAGAUGAAGUGUUGAAAACUUUGAAGCUGGUUUAUCUGCUGCCGGGAGAGGAGUAUAAAUACUGCAGCGAUCUGUCCGGCCUUGUUGGCAUGGACAGUGGCUGCUCUUUGUAUACUAAAAUAAAAUGUGAAAACGACUCAAAUGACCUUACACAAUAUAUGGUGCAUUAUAAUUGGAAAUUUUUUGAAUUAAACAAAGUGUGACGGUUGCUGUUCUUUCAAAUUAAGUGGAUUUUUCCUUUGAAAUGAUACCAAGUGACAAAUAACAUCCGUCCUUUUUAUUUUUUUUCUUUAUUUCAAUACAUUUUUCAUGACACUGCUUGAAGAUUUUCAGAAAAAUUAAUAUAUGUUAUAAUUGUGCUUAAUUUGUUAUUUUAACUUUUAAAUAACUCCCAACUGCAUGAAUAUCAUAUAUGUCAUCUUAUUGCUUUUUUUAUUUUAUCGGAAAUUGAUAUUAUGUACGUAUUUGUAUUAUAUGUAUAUAUACAAAUGUAUUUUGUACAUUAUGCUGACAAUAUAAG